CGAAUCAUCUGGAAAGAUGAAUCAAAGAAGGUAAUAAUCCUGUAGUCGAAAAUGUUGUCUCUCUUGAGUGGAUCCUGAGUACGACGGAGCACGUGAAAUUCCGUCGGAAUCUGGGAGGACCAUCUCCUAAGGCUAAAUACUCUCUAGUGACCGAUAGUGAACCAGUACCGUGAGGGAAAGGUGAAAAGCACCCCGGAAGGGGAGUGAAAUAGAACCUGAAACCGUGUGCUUACAAGUAGUCAGAGCCCGUUAAUGGGUGAUGGCGUGCCUUUUGUAGAAUGAACCGGCGAGUUACGAUUUGAUGCAAGGUUAAGCAGUAAAUGUGGAGCCGUAGCGAAAGCGAGUCUGAAUAGGGCGUUUAGUAUUUGGUCGUAGACCCGAAACCAGGUGAUCUACCCUUGGUCAGGUUGAAGUUCAGGUAACACUGAAUGGAGGACCGAACCGACUUACGUUGAAAAGUGAGCGGAUGAACUGAGGGUAGCGGAGAAAUUCCAAUCGAACCUGGAGAUAGCUGGUUCUCUCCGAAAUAGCUUUAGGGCUAGCCUCAAGUGAUGAUUAUUGGAGGUAGAGCACUGUUUGGACGAGGGGCCCCUCUCGGGUUACCGAAUUCAGACAAACUCCGAAUGCCAAUUAAUUUAACUUGGGAGUCAGAACAUGGGUGAUAAGGUCCGUGUUCGAAAGGGAAACAGCCCAGACCACCAGCUAAGGUCCCAAAAUAUAUGUUAAGUGGAAAAGGAUGUGGCGUUGCCCAGACAACUAGGAUGUUGGCUUAGAAGCAGCCAUCAUUUAAAGAGUGCGUAAUAGCUCACUAGUCGAGUGACACUGCGCCGA
rnacentral:rRNA from 1 species